rnacentral:rRNA from 1 species
CAGUAGCCGCGGUAAUACGAAGGUCCCAAGCGUUGUUCGGAAUCACUGGGCGUAAAGGGAGCGUAGGCGGCGUGGUAAGUCAGAUGUGAAAUCCCGGGGCUCAACCCCGGAACUGCAUCCGAUACUGCCAUGCUUGAGGGUUGGAGAGGUAGCUGGAAUUCUUGGUGUAGCAGUGAAAUGCGUGGAUAUCAAGAGGAACACUCGUGGCGAAGGCGAGCUACUGGACAACAUCUGACGCUGAGGCUCGAAGGCCAGGGUAGCGAAAGGGAUUAGAGACCCCGGUAGUCCCUGUCUCUUAUAC